UAAAAGUACCAUCGUGAUAGGUAGUUUUGAACCAGGUCAGAGUCGGAAGGCAGCAGCCUUAAGAAAUCAACUAUGUGCGAUGGCCUUUUUAUUAAA
rnacentral:SRP_RNA from 2 species